ACCCUUGUAGCUCAAUUGGUCAGAGCAGCGUCCUUUUAAGUCGCGGGUUCUCGGUUCGAGUCCGAGUGGGGGUACUA
rnacentral:tRNA from 1 species